rnacentral:rRNA from 1 species
AUGGUGCUUGGGAAGGCAUUAGCAUGGUGCGGCGGCAUCGUCUUGAGUGCGUGCAUCAUCGUCGGCGUGGUCUUGAUCGCCGCUUACAGCUACGCCAUUCAGCCCUCCAUCACAAUCGAGGACGCCUCGCUGACCAGGUUUGCCCUGGCUACCUCCCCGUCGACGGCACUCGGGUACAACAUCUCCCUGAGCCUCGCCGUCCGCAACAAGAACUGGGCCACGACCAUGAAAAACACAGAGCCGCUGGAGGCUGCGUACAAGUUCGACGGCCAGCAGUUCGACCGCGUGCAGGUCACCGACAAGGGCGACAAGCACACCGCCAAGAAGACCAGGGUGUACCGCCUCGUCACCAGCUCCGACGGCGGCUAUGUGGCGCUAGGCAACGCUGGCGUCGCCGAAUACAAGAAUCAGAACGCAACGGGGGUGUUCGAGCUGGAGGUGAUGGUGACCGGCGAGGUGCGCUACACGUGGCAGUUCAAGAAGAACAAGAUAGAGGCCACCUGCAAGCUCAAGCUGCAGCUCGACUCGCCGGGGACGGCGGUGUUAAGGUUCGAGAAGGUGAAAUGUAAGCUCGCCAAGCAGGAGAAGAAAUAG